CCUGUCAGUGUUUGUGAUCACUGGUUUACAUUUCUGACUCUAUCUAUCUGAAUGUUUGGUUUUGCCUGUAAAAUAUCCUGGUCUUUAAUUUCUUUGCAACACGGUGAAAUAUUUUUUCUAUUCAUACAUUGUUUGAUAAUGGUGAGAGCUAAGAGCAUAAAUUGGCUUCUAAAGCAGAAGUCUUCACUUGACAUCAAAAGAAGUUGAAGGUCACCAUGACUGUAUUGUCUUUAUGGCUGUGAUGAGCUUGUUGUCUUCUUAAGAUGGACAUCUCUUGACAGCAAUCUAGCGGAUGGAGACAGCUCAAGUGUUUGUUCCUGAUUACAUUGUGAUAGAGAGAGAAAGAGUGAGUGUGAGAGAGAUUGAAUUCUGAAGUCAAAGAUAAAUCUGCAUGCUUAUGAUGAUGAGACCCUUGUGACAACGUGUGUGUAAGUGCGUUUGUGUGCUGAGUUCUUAUAUAAAGACGUCCUUCUGAAAGUGACAACCCCAUGGCAACAGCUGUCAACGCAUUUUUCUGUUAGACUAUCAUUGGUCCUUGUGAUCAUGUAAAUAUUAUUUUUCAAUAAGAUAUUGUCUGACUAGUCGUAUGACCAUCAUAAUGACAACUGAGGCAAAAUUUGAACAAUAAGGGCAGAAGCCUGCUACCAGUGAAUAUUGUGCUGUAUGUGUUGCUGAUUGAAGGCCUCUAUGCAGGAGGCACUGCACUGUCAUUUAACAAAGCUUUAGCUUGGUGAAGUUUUUUUCUCUUUUUUUUUGCAGAGUUUAUACCUCUAGUGGAGCUUGUGCCUGUGGUGCUGCUAUUACACACUAAUUAAAAGGAUAUAAGAGAGAUCACGUUUUUACUGUGGCAGGCAUGGAUCUUUGCCUCCCACACACUUAAACACACACACAUACACAGGCACACCAAUAAUAGUAUACUUGUAACACACAUGCACAUAAGUGAGGGCAUAAACACACACCUCUUACAAGCAGCGAAUGUGAAUUGAGCUAGAAGUUAGAAGUCUUUAUAAUACAUUAACACGUUUGCAUCUAAAUGAGAUAUUUAUUAUUUUGAACAUGCUUUCUCCUCGAAUAUGAUUCCCGGAGGAAUUUAGAACUGUGUGACAGUGUAUCGUAUUGAGCCUGCUGUGCUGAGCUUCUCCAUCUCACAUAUUACUGAACACUUUGUCCUUUUAUACCUUUUUGUGCUCACUGAUUUGUGCGUGUUUUUGUGAACACCUUGAUUCAUGAAGGUUUAUAUUGUUCAAAGUAGAAGUUAAGUUAUUCUUCAGCAAAUUCUCUGGAAUGUCCCACAAAGCCCAAGAAAUAUUUUUUUUAUAUAGAUUUUUUGGUAAAGCGUGCCUCUGAAUCUCUCGCACAUUACUUACCACUUCUUAAAACCUUGAACAACACUUAGAGAUACAUAGAGGCACUUAACCAGAAUUCUAGUAACAAGUUGUCAUAGUAUACAAGUCGACUUGUAUGUGUGCAUUAUUUGUGAAAAUACUGAGCACUAUCUUCUCAAAAGAUAGACUUUCUGUGAAGUACUACUUUAAAGGCACUGUAUUGUCUCACCAGAUCUGAGACUUCUUAAUUCACCCUGAGCCAGUGAACAGCUUGAGAUCCUCAGGGAUAAAGCCCCUGUCCGUUCCAAAGUUGAGGUUAAAGAUGAAACAUGGCCGUAGUCAGAGUCCAGACCUUCUGAAGUGCCCCCUCCAAGAAGAUAUUAUUAGAAAUGUAAAAAAAAAAAAAAAAAA